GGAAUUACUGGGCGUAAAGCGCACGCAGGCGGUUUGUUAAGUCAGAUGUGAAAUCCCCGCGCUUAACGUGGGAACUGCAUUUGAAACUGGCAAGCUAGAGUCUUGUAGAGGGGGGUAGAAUUCCAGGUGUAGCGGUGAAAUGCGUAGAGAUCUGGAGGAAUACCGGUGGCGAAGGCGGCCCCCUGGACAAAGACUGACGCUCAGGUGCGAAAGCGUGGGGAGCAAACAGGAUUAGAUACCCUGGUAGUCCACGCUGUAAACGAUGUCGACUUGGAGGUUGUGCCCUUGAGGCGUGGCUUCCGGAGCUAACGCGUUAAGUCGACCGCCUGGGG
rnacentral:rRNA from 2 species